ensembl:miRNA
AGAAGCGACCAGAAGACAGGAGUGCAAGCCUUCUGUUAUUCCCAGACAGGGCCACCAGAGGGCUUCUUGGUCUAGCGGUAAUGCCA